CCUACGGGAGGCUGCAGUGGGGAAUUUUGGACAAUGGGCGCAAGCCUGAUCCAGCUAUUCCGCGUGUGGGAAGACGGCCUUCGGGUUGUAAACCACUUUUGUAGAGAACGAAAAGUCUAUUGAUAAUACCGAUAGAUGAUGACGGUACUCUAAGAAUAAGCACCGGCUAACUACGUGCCAGCAGCCGCGGUAAUACGUAGGGUGCGAGCGUUAAUCGGAAUUACUGGGCGUAAGGGGUGUGCAGGCGGUUUUGCAAGAUGGAUGUGAAAGCCCCGGGCUUAACCUGGGAAAGCCAUACAUGAAUGCAAGACUAGAGUGCGUCAGAGGGGGGUGGAAGUCCAAGUGUAGCAGGGAAAUGCGGAGAUAUUUGGAAGAACACCGAUGGCGAAGGCAGCCCCCUGGGACGCAACUGACGCUCAUACACGAAAGCGUGGGGAGCAAACAGGAUUAGAUACCCUAGUAGUC
rnacentral:rRNA from 1 species